UCCGUAGGCGGUGUGGCAAGUCGGAAGUGAAAUCUCUGGGCUUAACUCAGAGGCUGCUUCCGAAACUGCCGUGCUAGAGUGCGAGAGAGGCAAGUGGAAUUGCGGGUGUAGCGGCGAAAUGCGUAGAUAUCCGCAGGAACAUCCGAGGCGAAAGCGGCUUGCUGGAUCGCAACUGACGCUGAGGGACGAAAGCUAGGGGAGCAAACAGGAUUAGAUACCCUGGUAGUCCUAGCCCUAAACCAUCAGGACUUGGGGUUUGCCCUGUACGGGGCAAGUCCCGUAGCUAACGCGUUAAGUCCUGCGCCUGGGGAGUACGGUCGCAAGGCUGAA
rnacentral:rRNA from 1 species